GAUGAACGCUGGCGGCGUGCCUAAUACAUGCAAGUCGAGCGAACAGACGAGGAGCUUGCUCCUCUGACGUUAGCGGCGGACGGGUGAGUAACACGUGGAUAACCUACCUAUAAGACUGGGAUAACUUCGGGAAACCGGAGCUAAUACCGGAUAAUAUAUUGAACCGUAUGGUUCAAUAGUGAAAGACGGUUUUGCUGUCACUUAUAGAUGGAUCCGCGCCGCAUUAGCUAGUUGGUAAGGUAACGGCUUACCAAGGCAACGAUGCGUAGCCGACCUGAGAGGGUGAUCGGCCACACUGGAACUGAGACACGGUCCAGACUCCUACGGGAGGCAGCAGUAGGGAAUCUUCCGCAAUGGGCGAAAGCCUGACGGAGCAACGCCGCGUGAGUGAUGAAGGUCUUCGGAUCGUAAAACUCUGUUAUUAGGGAAGAACAAAUGUGUAAGUAACUAUGCACGUCUUGACGGUACCUAAUCAGAAAGCCACGGCUAACUACGUG
rnacentral:rRNA from 1 species